CAAGGUCACACAGAGAUGAGUGGCAGAGCUGGGAUUUGAUCUCGAGCCCUCGACAUGGGACCAGCUGCCUCCACGCUGACUCUCUGUGACGAGCCCGGCCCAUUGUUGCCUGUUUUCAGAGGAGGAAAGAAGGAGAGCCCUCAGAUACACCCAGAGACCACUGGCAGCCACAGAUGACCAAGUCACCCGAGCAGACAUGAAGCCACCUGGGUCACUUGGAAAGCCCUGGGAGCUCUUGGCUUAAGAGAGAAAAUGACCCCGCAGAAAAACAAGGAAAAUUCCCCCGCUUGCUGGCAGGUUUUCCAGGAAAAGUUGGUCCCCUCCCCGCCCCCGCCAGCCCCCAGCAUGGUCCUGUCCACCUCCCCUAGCACAGAGCCAGGCUUCUCCAGCCAGGAGGGCACCAGGAGCCCCGGGCGUUUGGGGGAUGCCAGGAAGACGAGCUGGCUUGACAGGCUGUGAGUCCAUGCAAAUGAGAUGCAAAGCAAUAUGCAAAUCCAAGCUUCUCUUUCUGAAUCUCAUCUGGUGGCUGAGCUGCUGCAGCCCUGCCGGCUCUGAAGGCUGCCGUCACCUUCCUGCCUCGUGUACAUCAAGGACAGGGAGCUCUGGUGACGGCACAGCCCUGCCGAGGUGCUCACAGACCCAACGAGGGCCCAGGACUUCUCUGAAAGGCUGCGGCCCGGCAGCCCCGGCUCCAUCUGGGCUCCCCGCCCCUGGCCAAGGGCUCAGGCUCUUCUCCACGCCCCUCCAGCCUCCAGUGCCUCCUUGGCUGAGGCGAGAACAGGCGGGAUGCAGGGGAAACCCGGAGCAGGCAGGCCCAGGUGCCCCUCUUUCCA